rnacentral:rRNA from 1 species
AUGGCGACUGAAGUUGAUGUUUCCAUUUUUAUAGAAUUUCAAGAUUACAAUGGAUCUACGAAAAGAUCGUGUAGUUUACUGAAACCAUUGAAUUCAGAAUAUGGAAAAGUCGCCCCUGGUUGGGGAACUCCUUUUAUGCGGGUCGCAAUGGCUUUAUUUGCUAUAUUCCUAUCUAUCAUUUUAGAAAUUUAUAAUUAUUCCAUUUUACUUGACGGAAUUUUAACCAAUUAG